CGGCGAGUGAGCGGCAAAAGCUCAAAUUUGAAAUCUGGCUCUUUCAGAGUCCGAGUUGUAAUUUGAAGAAGGUAUCUUUGGGUCUGGCUCUUGUCUAUGUUUCUUGGAACAGAACGUCACAGAGGGUGAGAAUCCCGUGCGAUGAGAUGAUCCAGGCCUAUGUAAAGUUCCUUCGAAGAGUCGAGUUGUUUGGGAAUGCAGCUCUAAGUGGGUGGUAAAUUCCAUCUAAAGCUAAAUAUUGGCGAGAGACCGAUAGCGAACAAGUACAGUGAUGGAAAGAUGAAAAGAACUUUGAAAAGAGAGUGAAAAAGUACGUGAAAUUGUUGAAAGGGAAGGGCUUGAGAUCAGACUUGGUAUUUUGUAUGUUACUUCUUCGGGGGUGGCCUCUACAGUUUAUCGGGCCAGCAUCAGUUUGGGCGGUAGGAGAAUUGCGUUGGAAUGUGGCACGGCUUCGGUUGUGUGUUAUAGCCUUCGUCGAUACUGCCAGCCUAGACUGAGGACUGCGGUUUAUACCUAGGAUGUUGGCAUAAUGAUCUUAAGUCGCCCGUCUUGAA
rnacentral:rRNA from 1 species